UUUGCUUCCUGUAGCUUUCCUGAUCCCUCCAAAUGAGAUUGUUUGCUAAGCGAGGCGUCUCCUUCCUCUUUCACCCUUGGAUGAAUUAGGGAGCAAGAGGAAUUGGUCAAGGCUCCUCACCAUGAUGGGCUGAGGAGCUGUGGGUACUCCUUGUGGAUAGUGGUCUGCCACUGGAGAGGCCACAGGGCUGGAGCGAGGAGCUGACUCAUAGGGUAGGGAGAACGUGGCCUGGAUCUUUCACAGAGGGUGGUUUCUGCUCGUGGGUUUGGUUUGGUAAUUUUAAACUCUAUUCUUGGAAAUGUUUCUCAAGAUUCAAGUAAUCCCUAGUACUCUACUUUUGGGGAACACUUCUUAAAAUGUACAAAGAAUUCCAACAAAUCAAUAAGAAAAAGACAAAUAACCCAAAAGAAAAAUGGACAAAAGAAAUGAAUCAGAAAAUCAAAGAAGAUGAAAUGGCCAAUAAUCAUAUGAAAAGAUGAAUGAUCUGUAUCAGUCUUCUGCAACUUGCUGUUCUCAAAGCAAUGCUAUGAUAGCUUCAUCCAUUCACGUUUUGUGUGUGGCAACAUUCAUUCUCACUGUUGUAAUACUAUUUCACUGGGAGCAAGUCAGGUCCCGUCUGCCCUGGAAGGGAUGACACGAAGGGACUCGAUCCCAGGACCCUGGGAUCACGACCUGAGCCAAAGGAUCAACCACUGAGCCACCCAGGCACCCACGGAGUCUCCUGUUUUAAUCAAAUUCCACUUAUAACAGAGGUAGUGGAAGGCAUAUAUAACGAUACAUGUUCAGUGUUGUGGCAUCAGUUAGGCAUCCACGAUAGAAGGCGCACCAAAUGACUGUAAUUAGUAUUCCUUCUACAUAGCCAAACCCAUUUAACUUUGCUGAUUUGUUUAGGUCCCAGGUGCCUUUCAUCAGCUUCCAUGUUGAUAGUUUACCCACCCCCCCUCCCCCCAUCCCCAAACCACCUACCACUUAAUUAUCACCCCACAUGCAAACUCUGACACUCCCUGAAACUAACAAAGAUCCUAGAUCUGUCCAUGCAAUAGUCGGGUUACUCGCUGCCUCCUGAGCAGCAACAGGCUUUGGUAGCAACAAUGAGAUCCACAGGCUAUGAACUGAAUUUCUCAGGGCAGGUGCUGCCAUAGUAGAGAGUUUGGUGAGAACAGCUCAAACCCUCCAACACUUCAGCAUCGUCUACCUGAAUUAAGGCAGGCUGCCUCCAUCUCUCCCCUUAUUGGCUGCAUAUUGCUUGGGUGACUUUAGCAGGGAAUGAAGUCUUCAGACAUUUGAUGACCACAAAACAAAAACAAAAACAAAAAAACCACAUGCCAAUUGAGGCAAGAGAACAUACUGGUACUGAAUGAGCUUCAGUCUUUUGGGAACUGUUGUCAGAUUCUUUCUUGUAUUGGUGGAGAAGAAGGAGGAAGAAGGUGUGCCAGAAGAGGAGGAAAGGGAAAAGAAAAUGCUAGGGGGAGGGACUGAUGGGCUACAGAUUUAUAAGGCAGGGUUCACCGGUAAAAUGGAGGACAUCCAGUUAAAUUAGAAUGUCAGAUUAAAAGAAUGGAAAAUAAAACUUUAAAGUAUGAGGCUAUCUCAUGUAAUACUUGGGAUAGACUUACACUAAAAAAUAUUUCUUUUGUUUUUAUCUGAAAUUUAAAUUUCACUGAGCAUCCUCUAAUUUUAUUUGCUAAAUCUGGCAACCCUACUACAAGAUCAAUCUCUCCCCUUUUGUCUCCGAACCUAUCAUCAUUUCUCAGGGUCAUACUGCUGUGGGGCAAAAGGGACUUCCUUGCCCUUUCCAGUGGCCAUGAUCUGGUGUUAAUAUUGCUGUCUCCUGCUGCUCUCGGCCCCCUGUCCCUAGUCCCCCAGGCAGCUGCAGGAACAGCAUGUCGCAGGAGAUGCCACAGGCUCAUCUGAGGUCCCUCUGCUCCUCUCUGGAAGGCUCCACAGCACUUGGCCCCCACCACUCCAAGUCUCCCAACAUGAGUGCGUGUAAAUCCAGCAUGACAGGUUUUAAGAGAACAAGGGAACUCUGGGUAUCAGUUUAAAUGUGGGCAAAACAUUUCUUGCUGAGCAGUUCAUGUUAAAAGGGAUUUAGUUUGCCCCUUGGUGAACAGCCCCGGAGGGGAGCUGGAAAUCUACUCCAGAAGGGCUUCUUCCAAAUUUUCCCUUUCAGGUUUCACAGCACAAUGGCUCCUAUUUUAGUGGCCAAGGUUCUUUUGUUGUUGUUUUUUUUUAAUUGUUUUAAAUUUUUUAUUAACAAAGCAGAAGGAACCACAAGAAAUAUUCACGUUUUCAUUGUGGAAGAGGAAAACAAAAUUCAGGUCUCCAAGGUUUCUAAGAAAACAGCAAAAAUCAGGAUCUGUUAAAUGCUAAUCUGUCCCUCCAGUGUGCUGUUCAUCCUUCUCUCCCACUGCAGAGUGGGGGAGACAGUGGCCUGAUGCUGGGAGAAAGCUCCUCGCCAGUUGUCCAAACAAUGGAAAUUUCCUGGAUUCUUUGCUGCAGUUUUUCAAUGUUAAUGGACAUAUGCUGACUUUUUUAAAGCUAGCUGUUACUAGGGGCAAAAAGAAGGACAAGAGAAAAAUGCUUACCUUCAGACUCUCUAAUGUAGGCGAAAAAGUCUUCCUAAAGAAAUGAACAACGAUGACAAACAUGCUCACGCUGCGCUUCAUCAAUCUGGAUCCUGUUCUUGCACAGCAGGUUACUAGGUCCCACGUGGGAGACUAAGACAGGAAGGACAGAAGGAACAAGAUAGCAUCUCAUCAUCAGAACUGGGGUCCAGGGUGGUGCCAAAUAGUUCCUGCUGCCUGGCUAAGCUUAUCUCUCACCCCUUUCUUCUUCCCCUCCUCUGCUCCAGCACCCUUUGCUACUUGUUAUUCUCUGACUUCUCAAGCUGUUUCUCCUCUCUGUCCCUUCUGUUCCACCAUUCCCAUUUCCCUGUUCAUUGACAUUCAACUUGGGAAAUGCCUCCUCUGGGCAGCGCCUGACCCUGACCCUCCCAGGUUGUGUUAGAUAUCCUACCAGUGUGCUCCUCUGCCCAGCUCCAUCACUGCAUGAAUCUCAAGGUAAUACCUGUUGGUUUGGGUCUUAGCCUCCUUUGUGGUGUCUGAACACCUUGAGGUCAGACAUUGUGUCUUGUUCAUCUUUGUAGACCCUUGUCCAGCAAGGGAUCUGUUCCACACCAGGCAGGUAGGUGCUCAGUGGAGGGCUGGAUGGACAAUGAUCUUGAAAUACUUGAUAAUGAGUUCCAGGGUUGACUGGAUUGUCACUUGAUUGUGACAAUCAUAAUGUGGGUGCAGGCACUAUUCAAGAUUGCUAAAGGCCUGUUGGAUGUAACACAUUUACGCAGGUUAAGGAUGCCCCUGACUAAAAUGUCCCCUUGCAUUGUUUCUGGCUGGAAUACUGUCAGUCCUCUCUGAUGACCCCAGGCUUUUCAUGAGGAGAUAAAAUUGGCCGUCAGUACAUACUUGUUCUUUAAGAAAAAUGUGCAGAUAAUCACAAUCUUUCUUUUUUCUUUCAUUUAAGCCAAAAAGUAAGUAAAAUCAGCAGCGAAGUUGCACAUGAUAAAAAAGAAAACUUUUUUGGUGGUAUGAAGGUGAGGUGCCAACUAUAUGCCAUGGUUUAUUCAUUGAUUUAUUCAAAUUUACUGAGCACCUGCUAUAUGCUGGGCAAUGUUUUAGGGGCUCCAGACACAGCAGUGAACAAGAUAAAUGAGAUCCUUUCCUCUUGGAGUUCACCUUCUGUGGAUGAGAAAGAGAUAAUAAACUAAUAAACACAUAAGAAAACAUCUGAUCAUAGUAAGUGCUACUCAAAGAAUGAAAUCAGAGGGAUGGACUAGACUGGGUGGUGGGGAAGGCCUUUGCCAGGAGGUUACAUUGACGCUGACACCUGACAACAAAAGUAUGAGAGUAAAGAGAAACUCCAGAAGACAUCAUGCAAAGGAUCUCCAAGGUAGGAAUAGAUGCAUUUGGAUGGUAUUUAUGUGCUUACCUGUUGAUCAUCUGUCUCCCCCACUGAGCUGCAACCUCCAUGACAGGAGGGACUGUAUCUAUUCUAUCUACCAACAUAUGCUCAGCACAAUGCCUGCCUGGCAUAUAGGACAUUCAUAAUAUAUAUUAUCGAAUAAUGAGUGAACCACAGCCCACCAUUCUUUCUGCCUCAGGUCAGGGUGGUUCCUGCAGGUAUGGGCCAUGGGGCCCCAGCUUGGGAGAGCAGAGCAAAGCAGAAGCCAGUUGCCUUGUCUGUCUUGCAGUGAGAGAGGGCUCAGGGACUCAGGCACAGGGUGAGUGGUUAUCGUAUCCCAGCCACUCUUUGGAGGCCUGUUCAGUCUGCUUAUUUGCCAUGCUUAUGGGAAUUUGAGACCAGACUUGGCUGAUUUCAUUCUUAUCGCUCAGCUUCACAAUAAUUUCUGGGCAAAAGGAAGCUUCUAAUUACGAGUUCAGAUCCCCCGGAAGCCAUAUGCCAAGCCAUAUAUGUGGGAAAAUACCCAGCUGCCUUCUUGGAUGUAAGGAUGAUAAUAGCUAACUGACAGGCUGAUCUGGGCCUGCCAGGCCUUUAACUCAAACAAAACAACAGCCACAACAACUACAAAAGUCCUGCAGCAGCUGCUGGUUCCAGGGACUGGAGUUAUUCAGGAGCCUGACUCCCACCAGCUACCUUGCAUCUUUCUUGGGAUAGUUAAGGUCUUUGAAGAUUCUGGGCCAAUUUCAUUCUCUAUCAAAUAUCUUACAUUCUUCCCAAAUUUCACAUCAAAUGCAUAUUGCUCUUGCUCUAAAACAUUUGAAAGGGUUUUGUCUCAGUUAGCUAAUGCUGUGUAACAAAUCACCUAAAAAUUUAGUGGCUUAAAACAACAAUGUAUCACCAUUCAGGGAUGGUUCUCCUCCAAGUAGGGUUAGCUAGAACAGCGGGUAACUGUAAUUGUCCGAAUGCUUGAGCAGUUGCUCAGCUGAGGAUGAAAUGUCUGGAAUGCCUGGGCAUUUGGAGUCAGGUGGAGCUUGACUGGGAGUUCAGUUGGGGCUAUCAGUUGGGGGCCUUGGUUCUUCCUGUGGGCCUCUCCGUGUGGCUGCUUGGACUGCCUUCUAGCAUGGUGGUUGAGUUCCAGGGAGGACUGUUCCAAGAGUAAGCUUUCCAGGAGGGAGGAAGCAGAAGCUGCCAGAUCAAUUAAAGUCUAGUCUUGGAAUUGGCAUAGCAUUCCUUCUACAUUUUUUUUUUUUUUACUCAAAGCAGUGACAGGCCCAGCCGAUUGUUAAUGCAGGAGGGAAUUACAUCAGGCAUAAAUAUGGGGAGAUAUGUUCGUCUGGGUCACCAAAUGAUAAUUUACCAUAAGUCUCAAAAUACUUAUUAUUGUGGCUCUCAAAAACAUUAAACAGAAAUACCACAUGAUCCAGCAAUUCCACUCCUGGGUAUAUACACCUAAAAGAAUUGAAAUCAGGGACAUAAAUAUUUGCACACUCAGCUGCAUAGCCAAAUGGUGGAAACAACCCAGAUGCCCAUCAACGGAUGAAUAUAUAAACAAAAUAUGGUAUAUACAUACAGUGGAAUAUUAUUUAGUCUAAAAGAUACGUGAAAUUCUGAUACAUGCUAUGACAUUAACCUAGAGGACAUCACGCUAAGUGAAAUAAGACAAAUAUUGUAUGAUUCUACUUACAUGCUAUAACUGAUAGUUAAAUUCAAAUUCAAAUGUGUUAGCUAACAAAUUCACAGAGAUAGAAUGUAGAAUUGUGCUUACCAUAGGCUAGGGAGAGGCAGGUACAAAGAAUUAUUGUUUAAUGGGAAUGGAGUUUUAGUUUGGGAAGAUGAAAAUGUUCUGGAGAUGGGAGUUCUAUUUUGAUGGUUGCAAAAUAGUAUGAAUGUUAUUGUGCCUUCACCGUACAUUAAAAAAAUGGUUAAAAUGGUACAUUUUACAUUCUGUAUAUUUUACCAUAAUAAAAAUUAUUAUUUUGA